GCGCCGAUGGUCUAGUCGGCGACGACGCUAGCCUUCCAAGCCAGAGACCCCGGUUCGAAUCCGGGUCGGCGCA
rnacentral:tRNA from 1 species